rnacentral:rRNA from 1 species
GGCGAGUUUGAUCCUGGCUCAGGAUGAACGCUGGCGGUAUGCUUGACACAUGCAAGUCGAACGAGGUUUUUUACUAUGAUCUUCGGUGAUUGGUUCUAAACCUAGUGGCGGACGGGUGAAUAACACGUAAGAACCUGCCUUUAAGAAGAGGAUAACAAUUGGAAACGGUUGCUAAUACUCUAUAUACCUCCGGGUAAAAGAUUUAUCGCUUAAAGAGGGGCUUGCGCCUGAUUAGCUAGUUGGUUGGGUAAUGGCUGACCAAGGCAACGAUCAGUAGCUGGCUUGAGAGGGUGACCAGCCACACUGGGACUGAGACACG